GCCCUUGUUCGAUUCCGGAGAGGGAGCCCGAGAAACGGCUACCACAUCCAAGGAAGGCAGCAGGCGCGCAAAUUACCCAAUCCCGAAACGGGGAGGUAGUGACGAAAAAUAACGAUGUCGGGUCGCUACGCGGCGCGACGAUCGAAAUGAGUCGGCGUUAAACCCGUCGGCGAGUACCUAUCGGAGGGCAAGUCUGGUGCCAGCAGCCGCGGUAAUUCCAGCUCCGAUAACGAACGAGACUCAAUAGC
rnacentral:rRNA from 1 species